GGGAAGGUGGUAAGGAAAGAAAAUAAGACAAUUGCUGUUGGCAGUACUUUCAGUGCAUACAAGGAGUUUAUCAGCUAAAUUUUUAUUUCAUGAGAAAAGAAACAACACCAAGUGAAAAAAGAAACUCAGAUGAGGAAAAGUCACAAUGAUUCCUGAAUCUUGAUAAUUAAAUAUGCACACUGACAACACUGUCACCAGACAUCUGGGCGCAGCUCACCAGUUGCUGGGGGCAUCCAUU
rnacentral:misc_RNA from 1 species